UUAAGUUCAGCGGGUAUCCCUACCUGAUCCGAGGUCAACCUUGAGGUGAGAGGGUUCUCGAGGCAAAAACGGUCCCAAACCUAGAAAGCUGAAAAGAUUUUACUACGCUUGAGGUUUGAAACCGCCGCCGAGGCGUUUAAGGCACGUCCGUGCGGACGACGCCCAAUUCCAAGCAGAGCUUGAUGGUUGAUAAUGACGCU
rnacentral:misc_RNA from 1 species